rnacentral:tRNA from 1 species
AGGGAUUUAGGAUAACAUUAGACCAAGGGCCUUCAAAGCCCUAAGCAGGAGUGAAAAUCUCCUACUCCCUG